UGCUCCCUACGGGAGGCAGCAGUGAGGAAUAUUGGUCAAUGGGCGCAAGCCUGAACCAGCCAAGUCGCGUGAGGGAAGACGGUCCUAUGGAUUGUAAACCUCUUUUGUCGGGGAGCAAAGCGCGGUACGAGUACCGCGAAGGAGAGUACCCGAAGAAAAAGCAUCGGCUAACUCCGUGCCAGCAGCCGCGGUAAUACGGAGGAUGCGAGCGUUAUCCGGAUUUAUUGGGUUUAAAGGGUGCGUAGGCGGAUUUGUACGUCAGCGGUAAAAAUGCGGGGCUCAACGCCGUAUCGCCGUU
rnacentral:rRNA from 1 species